GACGGAGGAGGCAAGCGUUAUCCGGAAUUAUUGGGCGUAAAGCGCGCGCAGGUGGUUUCUUAAGUCUGAUGUGAAAGCCCACGGCUCAACCGUGGAGGGUCAUUGGAAACUGGGAGACUUGAGUGCAGAAGAGGAAAGUGGAAUUCCAUGUGUAGCGGUGAAAUGCGUAGAGAUAUGGAGGAACACCAGUGGCGAAGGCGACUUUCUGGUCUGUAACUGACACUGAGGCGCGAAAGCGUGGGGAGCAAACAGG
rnacentral:rRNA from 1 species